CCAAUUUUUAAAGAAACUUCUGACGAAACAACUCAUGGUUCAUGGAGCAGAACCUCUGUAGAGAGAAGGACAGGGUUGGCUUCUCUUUCCAGAGAAAACAGUCUUUCAAAGUCAUUUGUUAAGGAAUCAUCUGGGAGAUGCUAUAGAUUACAGCACGAGGUUGUACUGAAAGUGGAAAUCAAAGAGCAGCACAGAUCUUUGCUUUGUCAUGGACUUUGCCCACCAGGAACACACAUGAAGAUACAUGGGCUUACUAUGGGAGAGUGGAAAAAAAUGUAUUUGUUAUUCCACAGCUACUCUGAUCAAAUGCACUUCCGAAGACUGAGCAAUGGCAAUGAACUCCUGCUGUCAUAAUCCCUGGAAAACACUUUCAAGCAAACUGCAGCUUUGCAGGAGCUUCUUUAUUAGACACUUAACUGCUUGUAAAUAUUUUCCUACUGAAACCCCUCCUCUAAUGAUUGUAAUAUGAAACAGUUUUUAUUUGACAAUGCAGAACUGCAGAGAGGCAAUGGUUGGCAUGAAUCUUACUGUACUAAUAAUGUUUAUCAGCAUGUUCUAUUGCACUAUGAUUGUGCAUUUUUGAGAAUUUAUCCCAAACUGGGUGACAUUUGCUACUGUUCUAAGCCUACAGCAAUCCAUAUGAUGUGACAGUGUUUGCUUGCCUAAGAUCUUUAGAGAGGUUUGGCCGCCACUUGUUUCAAGAUAUGACUGCUGUACUGGGGGGAAAGAGGAGAUAAAGGAGAAUGUAUAAGAGAUUUUUAUUAUUAAUUCAGUUCUUCAGCCAUGUAAGUAAGAGAUCAGAAGUGACAAAAAGUACAUUUUCAUAUAUGUUUUACGUAUACUUACUAUAAAAUCAGCACUUGCUAUUGUUUUUUCUGUUUUCCCCUCAAUCCUAAUCAAACCUUUACAAAAUUCUGGCCUUAUUCUAUGUCAGUCGUCUGGCAGAUAGUACUUAUAAAUAGUGAAAGGCAAAGAACAUGAGGUAAAAAGUAGGGGGGUACUCCAACACAAGGCAAUAUAUUCUGGGAAUAAAUAGAAUCUUAUGUUCUGAUAUUGAGAUAAGAAGUUGAAUUUUUAAGACUUCUCAUUGAACAUUUUUUCAAUAGUAGAAAUUUUGAUGUUGAGAGUACAUUUUUAUGGUGCUAAUACCCAGAAAAAUCCUGACAAAUAUUCAGUGUUUAACUAUAGUGUUUAACUUAAGCAUGACAUAAUUACAUUCCUACAGACAGUGAACAGGCAUCUUUAGAAUUUGAAACAACCUUUGGAAUCACUUUGCAUAAGACAAGUGAAUCAAUGGUUCCUCCACUGGUGGCUGCUGAAGGUGUGUUAAAUGCUAAAAUAUAAAUGAGGUACAUUGGAUUAUUAGUCCUUACAGUCUUUCCUGGUGGAAUAGUAGGCUAAUCUGCUUAUCCUCUCAGGCUCUCUCUGCACUAAUUAUGGUAGUAAAGCCUGCUUUUAAGCACUUGUUUUCAUACUACUUUUCCUAAUUUCUUUGUUCAAUAAAGAAAUCAAAAUCAA